UCCUGAAUCACUGCCACAUGACCUUGGAAGGUCAUUUCAUUUGUUUGGAUCGCAGGUCACCCUGCAAAAUGAUGAGAGAAGAGAAAAGGUGGGACAAUCUGGUGAAAUCAGAAACCAGUAUUUCCAGUGCAUUGGCCUCGUUUGAUGUUAGGACCUGGAAGAAAAAGAUAGAACAGCACAGUUGAAAAGAAAACCUCUGUGGAAGCAACCCAGAUGCCCAUUGAUGGACGACUGGAUCAAAAACAUGUGGUGUCAGCCCAAGAGAAGUUAAAGCACAUGCCCAUACCAAUAUUUUCAUGUGAAUAACACUCUCCAUAAUAACCAAAAAGUGGAAACAGUACAAAUCUCCAACAACUGCUGAAUGGAUAUACAAAAUGUGGUAUAUCCCUACAAUGGAAUACUAUUCAGUAAUGAAAAAGGAAAGAAGGACGGAUACAUGCAACAACAUGGAAUAAUCUCCAAAACCUUAUGCCAACAGAAAAAAGACGUAAAACAGCACCAUCCAAACUUGAGGUUUCAAUAUUGAGACAGAUGAUGCCACGGACACACCAAGAGGGUAUGAAAAAGUUUAUAAUGCACACAAUGAGACUUUCUGGGGAUGGCAGAACAGACUUUCCAAAUUGGUCUGGUAAUGACUUGAAUAGCGAGAAAGGGGAGACCAGCUUGGGGUUUUUAUUGCGGUUAGGUGGCAGGACUCGGGUGAGGGUUCUCCUUAUGGGCAGGACUUGCAUGAUUUGAAACUCCCACAAUUACCAAAGAAGGGGAUAUCUGGAAUUUAUUAUAGGCUUCUCCAAAUGUGAGCUGAAGGGGAUGAAAGAUAGGUGUGACUUCAAAGCC
rnacentral:lncRNA from 10 species